rnacentral:rRNA from 1 species
UACGGGGGGGGCAAGCGUUGUUCGGAAUUACUGGGCGUAAAGGGCUCGUAGGCGGCCAACUAAGUCGGACGUGAAAUCCCCAGGCUCAACCUGGGAACUGCGUCCGAUACUGGAUGGCUUGAAUCCGGGAGAGGGAUGCAGAAUUCCAGGUGUAGCGGUGAAAUGCGUAGAUAUCCGGAGGAAUACCGGUGGCGAAGGCGGCAUCCUGGACCGGCAUUGACGCUGAGGAGCGAAAGCCAGGGGAGCAAACGGG